AAGUUAGCCAAACUUCAGGCUCAGGUCCAGAUAGGAGGCAAGGGUACAGCUUGCAAAACAAAGGUGGAACCUAGAGAGUUACAGCAGAUGACAGAAAGCUUCAGAGUUCCGUAACUAAACUGGCUGUGAAUAAUAUAGCUGGUAUUAAAGAGGUGAACAUGAUUGAAGAUGGGACAGUUUUUCAUUUCAACGAUCCCAAAGUCUCUCUCUCUGCUAACACCUUUGCAGUUACCAGUCAUGCAGAAGCCAAACCAAUCACAGAAAUGUUUCCUGGAAUAUUAAGUCAGCUUGGUGCUGACAGCUUAACAAGUCUCAGGAAGUUAGCCAAACAGUUCCCAUGGCAAGUCUUGAAUAGCAAAGCACCAAACCCAGAAGACAAUGAUGAGGAGGAGGAUGUUUCAGAUCUUGUAGAAUAUUUUGGUGAGGCAUCAAAGAAUGAAGCUAACUAA
rnacentral:lncRNA from 1 species